ensembl:snoRNA SNORD18 Small nucleolar RNA SNORD18
UUGCAGUGAUGAGAUUCCUACUUCAGGUCCGUGUUUCUGACUAAUGAUUGUAUAGGAAGUCCUGAGCCA